rnacentral:rRNA from 1 species
UAAGACGAAGGUGGCAAGCGUUGUUCGGAAUCACUGGGCUUAAAGAGCGCGUAGGCGGAACAGUAAGCGUCCUGUGAAAUCCCCCGGCUUAACCGGGGAAUGGCUGGGCGAACUGCUGUUCUUGAGGCAGGCAGGGGUGCACGGAACUCUUGGUGGAGCGGUGAAAUGCGUAGAUAUCAAGAGGAACGCCGGUGGAGAAAUCGGUGCACUGGGCCUGUUUCAGGCCAGAAAUGCUUCGGCGUUUUUGGCCCUCUGACGCUGAGGCGCGAAAGCGUGGGGAGCGAACGGGAUUAGAUACCCCGGUAGUCCACGCUGUAAACGAUGCCUACUAGGUUGCGGGAGCUUCUGACGUUCUCGCGGCCGAAGCAAAAGUGUUAAGUAGGCCGCCUGGGGAGUACGGUCGCAAGGCUA